rnacentral:lncRNA from 1 species
CAUAGCUCUAAUAUUGGUUUUGCCAUCAACUCUAGGUUCAUAUACUAGCGCAACUUUCACCCUCUCCCUACUCUCUCGAUCUUUUUCCUAUUUUUUCUGAAGAAAAGAGCAGACCCUUUUCCCUUCCAAAAUGGCGUAGCUUUUCCUCUUUUUCUUUCUAGUUUUUCGCCUCACCCACACACUAAUCUUUUAUGGAACCAAGCUAAAAGUCCUGGAUUCAAAAACAAGAAAAAAUCCGAGUUUCAGAUUUGAAAAAGAAAAGAACAAAAAAAAAAUCAUGAGCAAAACAAGACAAAGAAAACGGUCAAAAAUGAAUUUGGAGCUGUUUGACCGAGGAGCUGCUGUUUGUCGCUAUUUCCUUGCUGGUUGAGUUAUUAUCUGCUAUUGCAGCUGCUUUGUCCUAGUUCAUUGAUUUCGGCUCUGCUUGGCUUUCUAGUUGUUUUAAUUGUUGAUUAAGGUCAAUUCUAGUCCAAGUAAGUAUGUUCUCUCACCUCUGUAUUUUUUAGAAUCUGGUUUAAUAUAAAAUUAUGACUGUUUUCUUUCAUCUUUUAUUGUUGUUUGGAUUAUGUGUAUUAUAAUAAUAAUUUGAUUCCAAUAAAUGAAGAGCAUAGUGUGCGGAUUACAACAACUUGCGCUGGCUACAUUAAACAGUUUGAUCUUUCUUUGGUAACAUAAACUGUAGCAAUAACUUUCUGAGGAACUUUGAGUACUUGUGCAGAUACUAAAGAAAAAACUGAAUCAGCAGUCUAAUUUUGUACCAUAUUCGUCUAGUUUCUCUUUAUAAGGGAUAAUCUAUUUUGUUGUAGCACACUCCUUGCUGGUUUACCAGAUUUUCCUGUCCAUGCUCCAUAAGUGAUUUGAGCACGCUUGUACUGUGCUAUUGUCUCCAUCAUUAAUACAAAGAGUGCUGCUAGAUGGUUUUCUUCUUAAAUAUGUUUUCUUUAAGGCAU